rnacentral:tRNA from 1 species
UAGAAAGUAAUAUAAGGGAAGUAUGGAGGGUUUUGAUCUCUCUAGUGCGGGUUCAAUUCCUGUCUUUCUAA